AUUGAACGCUGGCGGCAGGCCUAACACAUGCAAGUCGAGCGGAUGAAGGGAGCUUGCUCCUGGAUUCAGCGGCGGACGGGUGAGUAAUGCCUAGGAAUCUGCCUGGUAGUGGGGGAUAACGUCCGGAAACGGGCGCUAAUACCGCAUCCGUCCUGAGGGUGAAAGUGGGGGAUCUUCGGACAUCACGCUAUCAGAUGAGCCUAGGUCGGAUUAGCUAGUUGGUGGGGUAAAGGCCUACCAAGGCGACGAUCCGUAACUGGUCUGAGAGGAUGAUCAGUCACACUGGAACUGAGACACGGUCCAGACUCCUACGGGAGGCAGCAGUGGGGAAUAUUGGACAAUGGGCGAAAGCCUGAUCCAGCCAUGCCGCGUGUGUGAAGAAGGUCUUCGGAUUGUAAAGCACUUUAAGUUGGGAGGAAGGGCAGUAAGUUAAUACCUUGCUGUUUUGACGUUACCAACAGAAUAAGCACCGGCUAACUUCGUG
rnacentral:rRNA from 1 species